AGAGUUGAUCCUGGCUCAGGACGAACGCUGGCGGCGUGCUUAACACAUGCAAGUGGUGCGACGAACCAGGGCUUGCCCUGGGGCAAAGCCGCGAACGGGUGAGUAACACGUGAGUAAUCUGCCCCGAUGACCGGGACAACCCGAGGAAACUCGGGCUAAUACCGGAUGAUGAGCCCAGGCGUAAGCCUUGUCUCUAAAGGAAGCUUCGGCCUCCGCAUCGGGAGGAGCUCGCGGCCCAUUAGCUAGUUGGUGGGGUAACGGCCUACCAAGGCGACGAUGGGUAGCUGGUCUGAGAGGACGAUCAGCCACACUGGAACUGAGACACGGUCCAGACUCCUACGGGAGGCAGCAGUGGGGAAUCUUGCGCAAUGCGCGAAAGCGUGACGCAGCAACGCCGCGUGGGGGAAGACGGCCUUCGGGUUGUAAACCCCUUUCAGGAGGGACGAAGGUUCGCCGGUUAACAGCCGUGCGGAUUGACGGACCUCCACAAG
rnacentral:rRNA from 1 species